CCUACGGGUGGCAGCAGUGAGGAAUAUUGGUCAAUGGGCGGAAGCCUGAACCAGCCAAGUAGCGUGCAGGAUGACGGCCCUACGGGUUGUAAAAUGCUUUUAUACGGGAAUAACGCGCCUUACGUGUAGGGCUUUGCAUGUACCGUAUGAAUAAGGACCGGCUAAUUCAGUGCCAGCAGACGCGGUACUACGGAAGGUCCGGGCGUUAUCCGGAUUUAUUGGGGUUAAAGGGAGCGUAGGCCGCAGUGCAAGCGUGCUGUGAAAUGUUCGGGCUCAACCCGGGCCUUGCAGCGCGAACGGGCGUGCUUGCGUCCGCGGACAGCAGUCGGAAUUCGUCGUGUAGCGGUGAAAUGCUUAGAUAUGACGAAGAACCCCGAUUGCGAAGGCAGCUUGCUGCAGCGGAACUGACGCUGAUGCUCGAAAGCGCGAGUAUCGAACAGGAUUAGAUACCCCGGUAGUC
rnacentral:rRNA from 1 species